UACGGGGGGGGUAAGCGUUGUUCGGAAUUACUGGGCGUAAAGGCUCGUAGGCGGCCAACUAAGUCAGACGUGAAAUCCCUCAGCUUAACUGGGGAACUGCGUCUGAUACUGGAUGGCUUGGAUUCGGGAGAGGGAUGCGGAAUUCCUGGUGUAGCGGUGAAAUGCGCAGAUAUCAGGAGGAACACCGGUGGCGAAGGCGGUUCUCUGGGCAUUACCUGACGCUGAGGAGCGAAAGUGUGGGGAGCGAACAGG
rnacentral:rRNA from 1 species